rnacentral:rRNA from 1 species
UCGGUGCCGCAGCUAACGCAUUAAGUACUCCGCCUGGGAAGUACGCUCGCAAGAGUGAAACUCAAAGGAAUUGACGGGGACCCGAACAAGUAGCGGAGCAUGUGGUUUAAUUCGAAGCAACGCGAAGAACCUUACCUAAGCUUGACAUCCCAAUGACAUCUCCUUAAUCGGAGAGUUCCCUUCGGGGACAUGGGUGACAGGUGGUGCAUGGUUGUCGUCAGCUCGUGUCGUGAGAUGUUGGGUUAAGUCCCGCAACGAGCGCAACCCUUGUCUUUAGUUGCCAUCAUUAAGUUGGGCACUCUAGAGAGACUGCCAGGGAUAACCUGGAGGAAGGUGGGGAUGACGUCAAAUCAUCAUGCC